AUACGGAGGGUCCAAGCGUUAUCCGGAAUCAUUGGGUUUAAAGGGUCCGUAGGCGGACAAUUAAGUCAGAGGUGAAAGCCCACAGCUCAACUGUGGAACUGCCUUUGAUACUGGUUGUCUUGAAUUGUAGUGAAGUAGAUAGAAUAUGUAGUGUAGCGGUGAAAUGCAUAGAUAUUACAUAGAAUACCGAUUGCGAAGGCAGUCUACUAACUAUAUAUUGACGCUGAUGGACGAAAGCGUGGGGAGCGAACAGGAUUAGAAACCCUAGUAGUCC
rnacentral:rRNA from 1 species